GGAUGUGAGGGUGAUCUGGCUGCGACUUCCAUUGCCCAUUGAUCGCCAGGGUUGAUUCGGCUGAUCUGGCUAGCUAGGCAAGUGUCCCCUCCCUCCCUCAUCGGUCCAUGCACACACCCCUGUCAGUACGCCUUUGAGCCAAUGCCAACGACUGGGCUCAACAACAGGAUCUGCCCCGACUGGGCUAGGUGACUGGUGUACUUCCAGAGACCUUCCACUCCUCUAAAGCAGGUCUAAGUGCACAGGACGCACAACUGUGAGUUGUGAGCACCAAACUCAGCAG
rnacentral:sRNA from 1 species